GUCUCACUGGCCUAAUGGUUGGGCACCAGUCUUCCAAACUGGCUAUCGGGGUCCGAUUCCCCGGUGGGACU
rnacentral:tRNA from 1 species